rnacentral:sRNA from 1 species
CUUGCACAGUAUAUGUCCUCUCCCCCUGCUCCCCCUUCUUCCCCUUGGCCCAAUGAAUCUCCACAUCCAGUUCUCGUGAAUUGGUGUCUGACUUUUUACACCUGAACUGGCCCACAAUCUCCUCUCCAGGGGCAAGCUCGAUAGGGUCGCGAAGAAGGAAGACGACCUGUUUCCAAAGAAGGGGUGAGGGGCUCUACAGGACAUGUGUACUCGUCAUCACCAAACUGUCGAAUGUCGACAGGAUAGCUAGCGGGAAAGUGAGAAGCAUCGCCACUGAGCGGGGAGAAGAAUGUGUCAAAGUGGGUGAGGAAAGCGCGGACGGUGGUCGGCGUCUCUGAUGUCGAGGAGAGAAUGAAGGUCACCACCUCCUCCUCAUCGACAACUUCAGUGAGACCCUCGUCGAAACCGACCGCGUUCAUCGUGGAAAGGUCAAAGCCGUACACAGAGUUCCAAAAUUUGACUCUUUCACGAUAAACGCGGUCUCCGGUGAUAGCACUGAGAACAAGGCGCGUUUGAGAUGGAGCCAUGAGACCGUUCGGCGCAAGGAAUCGGUCGCGAGCGCUGUACAUCAAAUAGUCAGCAAGCAGACUUCCAAGCGUUGGACUGCAGCACGUACACCAAGACGGAGUCAAGCAUAGAUUCGUAAAGCAACAUGUAACCCAUCCACUCGCUAACGAUAACAUCCACUUCCGUGACAGGAAGCUGGAUAUCCUCCACCUUGCCUUGGAUGACGGUGAUCACAUCGGUAAAUCCAUUCUUUUGAAUGUUUUCCCGAGCCUUGACGGCCAAUCCGGAGGCUUCGAUCGCAUACACAUGCUUGGCCCCCGCUUUGGCAGCGAGCACUGAUGCAGAUUAUCAGAUACCGGUACCACAUCCAACAUCCAUCACAACAGCACCCCUAAAAACUUGAGGGUUCGACAAAAGGAAACGGGCAUAAGAAACCGUUCGGACGGUAUCCUUGAGCAUGAUCUCGUGAAUGUCUAAUGGCUUAUUAGCGAAAAGAUAUCUCUGGAAGCGAGGGGUUUGAUUCUCACCAUUCUCCUCGUAAGAAUGAAAAUAAUGCGUGUCAUCAUCCCUUUCAACCGCCUUGCCCUUUCCUUUCCCAUCCACCUUGACUUGUCUCUCCUCGGACUCGUCGUCCUCCGAUCCAAUAGUCUUGGUAACCAACAACUGCAUUGCCGCAAGGUCUUUCCUCGCCUUUUCCAACUCGGCUUCGAGAAGUGUUACUUUUUGAGAUUCGGGAGAUUGAACGUCCUUUGAAGGGCCAGCAGAGGAAGCUUGAGGCGGCUCGUCAUCGUCGGACCAAAAGUCGUCAAAGUCAUAUUCUACAAAGUAAAUUAGAUUUAUUUAUUUAUUUUUUUCACGAGGUCAACUUUUUUUAAU